rnacentral:rRNA from 1 species
AGCGAACGCUGGCGGCAGGCCUAGCACAUGCAAGUCGAACGCCCCGCAAGGGGAGUGGCAGACGGGUGAGUAACACGUGGGAACGUACCCUUUGGUUCGGAAUAACUUGGGGAAACUCAAGCUAAUACCGGAUAAGCCCUUAUGGGGAAAGGUUUACUGCCGAAGGAUCGGCCCGCGUCUGAUUAGCUAGUUGGUGAGGUAAUGGCUCACCAAGGCGACGAUCAGUAGCUGGUCUGAGAGGAUGAUCAGCCACACUGGGACUGAGACACGGCCCAGACUCCUACGGGAGGCAGCAGUGGGGAAUCUUGCGCAAUGGGCGAAAGCCUGACGCAGCAACGCCGCGUGCGGGAUGACGGCCUUCGUGGUUGUAAACCGCUUUCAGCAGGGACGAAAAUGACGGUACCUGCAGAAGAAGCUCCGGCUAACUACGUGCCAGCAGCCGCGGUAA